UCAGGCAGAUAAAGGAGAAACAAGGUGGCA
rnacentral:piRNA from 1 species